rnacentral:rRNA from 1 species
UACGUAGGGUGCGAGCGUUGUCCGGAAUUAUUGGGCGUCAAGCGCGCGCAGGCGGUCCUUUAAGUCUGAUGUGAAAGCCCACGGCUCAACCGUGGAGGGUCAUUGGAAACUGGGGGACUUGAGUGCAGAAGAGGAAAGCGGAAUUCCACGUGUAGCGGUGAAAUGCGUAGAGAUGUGGAGGAACACCAGUGGCGAAGGCGGCUUUCUGGUCUGUAACUGACGCUGAGGCGCGAAAGCGUGGGGAGCAAACAGG